AGCAAUGGACAUCGCCAUUUGUGGGAUGUCAUAGUAGUGAAAUCCAUGAGUUGGAGAAAAAGACUAGGUGACAGUCUUCCUACAUCUGUAGGACAAAGGACAUGAAGAUGCGAAAUUGGUAAUUGCUGCUCUAAGAAGUAAAGGCAUGAAUUCCAUUGGUGCUGCAGGUUCUUGAUGGGGAGUGAGUCAUUCUCCCCCAUAGCUACGAACUUGCUCAAGUUGGAACAAGCACAAAUCUAAGACAGAAAAUUUAACGAGGUGAAGAUUCCAGUUGCUUUUCUGGGAGCUGAAAUUGACCGUGCUUCCACACCAGAACAAUUGAAAUUCAUCUGCAAAAUCUCAGGUGAUAGGUCCUCAGUCUCAAGAUUGAUGAUUGUCCCAUAGAGGUUCUAUGUUUUAAGGAGAUAAUGUUUUUUUUUUUUUAAACUCUUUUCAUCUCAUGACUUGGCAAAUAUGAUUUAGCAUUUUGGAUUCAA